ACAAUAAUUUUUUGAAAUGAUAAAAAAAGGACACCAUAAAUAAGACCCCUACCCAUAUGAAUAACAAGAGCCCUUGAGGUCUUUGCCACAUCUACUCUGAGAAUGAAGACCAUCCUAAGCAACCAGACUUUUAAUAUGCCAGAAAAUGGGAACCUCGAUCUGAAGGGGGACGCAUAGUUAUUUUAAGGAUCCCAGAGACUUUAAUCACAUCCAUAUAAAACUCAGUUUCCUUGGGAAGAAAAAGAAGAGGCUGCAGGUUGACAAACGGUGUCACUCAGUGCAGGCUGCUAUAAUAGAAUUCCACAGACUAGGUGGUUUAUAAACAAUUGAAAUGUAUUUCUCACAGUUCUAGAGGCUGGAAGUCUAAGAUCAAGACUCUAACAGAUUGAGCGUCCAGUGAAGACCCACUUUCUGGUUCACAGAUGGCAGUCUUCUCGCUGUCCUCUAACAGCAGAGGGGAAAAGGGAGCUCUCUCGAGGGUCUGUUAUGUAAGGUUGCUAAUCCCAUUCAUGAGGGCUCUGCCAUCAUGACCUAAUCACCCCCCAAAGCCUCCUUCUCCAAAUACCGGGACAUUGGGGAUUAGGUUUCAACAGAUGAAUUUGGGAGGAAUACAAACAUUCAGCCUAGAGUAGUGGGGACAGUGAAAGGAACUGGAUACAGUUCAGAUUAUCAGCGGUCACGUAUAGCACGUGAUGAAGGGUGAGAUACUGGGCUUCCAUGGCAAGGUGAGGUCUAUGUAUUCUCACUUCUCCAUCCUCAUUAGUAUUCAGUAGAAUGGGUCUCUUGUUGAAAUCUGUAAUUUUGGGGGUGAAAAAUACAUUUGUACGGUUUGGGUGGGGCCAGCCAUUGCUUGUACAGUAUUUCAAGCCCAGAAAGAUGAGUUAAGUCUUGAAGGAAAUGCCAUUGAAUUUGUAUCAUGUUUAGCUGCUUUGACUCAGACACAACAGUUAAAAGCAAGAAUAUCAGAAAAAUUUGGGAUGGUAUAUGUCUCUGAAAAGAAAACAACAACAACUAACAGUUCAGCAGUCUGAUGAAUAAAAUCUAAGAGUUGGAAACAAGAUGGCAUAUGAUUCCUAAGACCUACUUGUGAUACUUAAAAGAUGCAGUGAACAUGUUCUAUUGAUUUCAGACUUCUUUUUUAUUUUUUUUAAUGUUUAUUUAUUUUUGAGACAGAGAGAGCAUGAGCAGAGGAGGGUAGAGAGAGAGAGGGAGACACAGAAUCCGAAGCAGGCUCCAGGCUCUGAGCUGUCAGCACAGAGCCCGAUGUGGGGCUCGAACUCGCGAGCUGUGAGAUCAGGACCUGAGCUGAAGUUGUACACCCAACCGACUGAGCCACCCAGGUGCCCCCAGACUUCUUAUUAAAAGGGAGACCGUGAGAGAGACCCUGAUAGGUCACUUAGCAAUGUUCUGAU